rnacentral:rRNA from 1 species
AUGACGAAGGGAACGGGCAGCUUCGGCAAGCGCCGGAACAAGACCCACACGCUGUGCAUCCGCUGCGGCCGCCGCAGCUUCCACCUGCAGAAGAGCACCUGCUCCUCGUGCGGCUACCCCGCCGCCCGCAUCCGCAAGUACAACUGGAGUGUGAAGGCCAUCAGGAGGAAGACCACCGGCACCGGGAGGAUGAGGUACAUGCGCCAUGUGCCCAGGAGGUUCAAGAGCAACUUCAGAGAGGGAACUGAGGCCGCACCAAGGAGCAAGGGAGCCUCUUCCAGCGGCAACUAG